CCGCACAAGCGGUGGAGUAUGUGGUUUAAUUCGAUGCAACGCGAAGAACCUUACCUGGCCUUGACAUCCCGGGAAUUUCCUGGAAACAGGAGAGUGCUUUCAUUAGAGAGAACCUGGAGACAGGUGCUGCAUGGCUGUCGUCAGCUCGUGUCGUGAGAUGUUGGGUUAAGUCCCGCAACGAGCGCAACCCUUGCCUUUAGUUGCCAGCAGUUCGGCUGGGCACUCUAAAGGGACUGCCGGUGUCAAACCGGAGGAAGGUGGGGAUGACGUCAAGUCCUCAUGGCCUUUAUGGCCAGGGCUACACACGUACUACAAUGGCCGGUACAAAGGGCAGCGACAUUGCGAGAUGGAGCGAAUCCCGAAAAGCCGGUCUCAGUCCGGAUUGGAGUCUGCAACUCGACUCCAUGAAGUUGGAAUCGCUAGUAAUCGUGGAUCAGCAUGCCACGGUGAAUACGUUCCCGGGCCUU
rnacentral:rRNA from 1 species